rnacentral:rRNA from 1 species
AGUGAACGCUGGCGGUAGGCCUAACACAUGCAAGUCGAACGGCAGCACAGUAAGAGCUUGCUCUUACGGGUGGCGAGUGGCGGACGGGUGAGGAAUACAUCGGAAUCUACUUUUUCGUGGGGGAUAACGUAGGGAAACUUACGCUAAUACCGCAUACGACCUACGGGUGAAAGCAGGGGAUGUUCGGACCUUGCGCGAUUGAAUGAGCCGAUGUCGGAUUAGCUAGUUGGCGGGGUAAAGGCCCACCAAGGCGACGAUCCGUAGCUGGUCUGAGAGGAUGAUCAGCCACACUGGAACUGAGACACGGUCCAGACUCCUACGGGAGGCAGCAGUGGGGAAUAUUGGACAAUGGGCGAAAGCCUGAUCCAGCCAUACCGCGUGGGUGAAGAAGGCCUUCGGGUUGUAAAGCCCUUUUGUUGGGAAAGAAAAGCAGCAGGUUAAUACCCCGCUGUUCUGACGGUACCCAAAGAAUAAGCACCGGCUAACUUCGUG